UAACGCUGUAUUCCAAAUAAAUUAAUCAGCCAAAGAGUAUUCUCAAAAGUAGUGCGGUGUUAACUCCGCCCACGAAGGGAGAUAACUUAGUCUGUUGUAAAAAAUGGCGGUGUUAAAAUUUCCCUAUUUUAUUGACGCCGACAAUUACAUCAGAGAGGAAGAAAUCAAAACGUGCGAACGUUUUGUUUUUUUGGCAAGACGUGGGUCACCGAAGUCUACAGAUAAUGGAUGCAUUUUUACAUCUGCUGUGUUUGCCUUUGGAUGGCAGUGUUCUCCAUGUAGCAAGUACAGUAUGGACUGCCAUAUUUUUGGGACAAGACCCUGAUAAACACAGGUUUUUAAGCGAGGUGCAGAUACUGGAGUAUGAUCAUCUGGUUGGUGCAGUCAAUGAGGGUGGAUUCCACUGGUCUCUUAUAGUUGUGCAACCGAAAGACAACAAAGUUUUGUACAUAAAUCCGAUGGGGGAGCAGAAUGUUUCCCAGCAACAGAUCCUGCAACAAUGGAUGUAAAUGUGUACAUUAUUUAAUUAAACAGUAAAUUUGUGCACAUUCGGCGCUUAUCCAGCAUUGAUAUGGGCGGACCAAUACAUUGGAACAUACUCUGCCCACGUCAUGCAAAACAGUCAGAUUCAAUAUCUUGCGGUGUCUACGUUUUAAAGUAAGCAGAAUGCUACCUGCAAAAUCAAUCCCUAGAGUUUGUGCUCAGCAAAACACAACUACUAGAAGAACGGAGACAAAUAGCCAGAAGACUGCUUUCUGAAGGGGAAUUCAUUGAAGGUCAUCUAGAAGAGAUAGCAAGUAGCCCAUCAGUCGAACAUGAGAACUCGGACCAGCUCGCAAACACCCCUGCCUCUGCCAUGGAGUUGGAAGGGCGAGACACUGACCCAGUAGUCGAUCAUGUGGCAACAACUAGGAACUCGGACCAGCUGGCAAACAACCCUGCCUCUGCCAUGGAGUUGGAAGGGGGGAGACACUGACCCAGUGGUCGAUCAUGUAGCAACAGCCAGGGUGAGUCAAAGCGGACACAGUUGAUGAGGAAAUAUGCAUCCAGCAUUGGAAGCACAAUUUUUCUUUAAAAAAAUACAAUUUAUUUAAUUUAAUUUACAUAAUGCCCUGUCUGUUGGUUUGUUUGUUUGUGCAAACCUUAACAUUUGCAAUAACUUUUGCAAUAUUAAAGGUAGCAACUUCAUAUAUAGCAUGCAUGUGCAUCUCAAGGAGCUACACACUUUGAGUUGUGUAAGGUCAAGGUAUUUUUUUUUUGGUAAAAUUGAUGAAUUAAUAUGAUAUCUCUUUGCAAAUUGUUUUAAAAUUAAUACAUAACUUGUUUCAGAAACAUUGUUUAAUAACAUUCAAUUGUCAUUUAUUCGAAUUUGAAAGUUGUCAAAAGUAAUUAUUUCUCCCUAUACGGUAGCUUUAGGUAUAUGUGAUAUUUCAUGAGAAAACUAGUCUUCAUUGCAUUACAAAUUAAUGAAGCAUUCUUUACAUUUGCUUUUAUAACAAAAAAACCUAGUUUAGACUUGUAAAAUUGAUAAAAAUAAUUAUUUGAACAUAAAGUUUGACCAGAGUGUACAAUUUAAACACACAAGUUUAUAACGACGUGUAUCUUGUGCUUUGCAUUUGUUUAAAAGUUGCCUUAUAAUUGUGCGAAGCAUGUCUUCUCAAAUUAAAAAUGCAUCUUAUUCAAAGGUGAUCAGAACUAAAUGUGUUUUUUUUAAUAAUUCAGGGAUAACAAAAAUCAGACUAAGAAACCAUAUGCAAUAAUUCAUAGUCUGUUGUCUUCACAGAGAGAAACUUCAAUAAAAAAUAUGCUGUCAUUUUAUAAUACCUUCGUGUUUGCCUCACGGUUGCCUAUUGAUUUGUUUUAAAAUAGGAAGUUUAUAAUGAGGUAUAUAACACAAAGAAAUUUCAUAUUUGAAUCAUUUUUAUGCUCCUCUAAAAAAUUCUUGUCUGAGCUUUUUCUCAGUAACUUAUUACGGGAAUUCAAUGAAACUUUAUGGGAAGCUUCACUACCAAGAGGAGAUGUGCAUGUUAUUAGCCAGUUAUGGUCGGAUGAUUUUUCACAGAGUUAUGGCCCAUUGAAAUUUUCCAUUUACUGUACAUAUUGUGCAUUCUUGUUCGGGCUAUUUCUCAGCAACUAAUGUCUGCAAUUGAAUGAAACUUUAUGGGAAGCUUCACUACCAACAGGACAUGUGCAUAUUAUCAGCAAGUUAUGGUCGGAUGAUUUUUCACAGAGUUAUGGCCCUUUGAAAUUUUCAAUAUACUGUACAUAUAGUGCAAUUCUUGUCUGGGCUAUUUAUCCCCAACUAAUGACUUGAAUUCAAUGAAGUUUUAUGGGAAGCUUAACUGCCUUGAAGAGAUGCGCGUGUUAUUUGUGGGUUCUGGUUAGAUGAUUUAUUUAGAGACUUAUGGCCCUUUGAAAUUGUUAAGUUGCUAAACCAUCCAUCCUAUUAUUUUGUCCAAAGUUAUGCCACUCAAGAUGUUUCCUUUUAUCUGAAUAUAUAGUGCAAUAUUGUGACCAAAAAAACUUUGGGGAGCUUCACCCAUCUCUGACGGCUUGUUUUAAUUAAAUAUUAAUUGUAAAUCCCAUAUCACCUUUUAUCAUACUUUUUUGUAAUUGACAACUUGGUUUUCUGACAAUUGUUUUCCUUGUUUUGUUUCAAAUAGGCAUGAUAUGGUUACUAUUAAAUCAACUUCAUAUGUUCUUCCCUUGUGAUAAGUAUUUUUAGCUCAUCUAUUUUUUGAAAAAAAAUUAUGAGCUAUUGUCAUCACCUUUGCGUCGGCGUUGGCGUCCGGUUAAGUUUUGCGUUUAGGUCCACUUUUCUCAGAAAGUAUCAAUGCUAUUGCAUUCAAACUUGGUACACUUACUUACCACCAUGAGAGGACUGGGCAGGCAAAGUUAGAUAACUCUGGCGUGCAAUUUGACAGAAUUAUGUGCCCUUUUUAUACUUAGAAAAUUGAAAAUUUUGGUUAAGUUUUGCGUUUAGGUCCACUUUUCUCAGAAAGUAUCAAUGCUAUUGCAUUCAAACUUGGAACACUUACUUACUAUCAUGAGGGGACUGGGCAGGCAAAGUUAGAUAACUCUGGCGUGCAUUUUGACAGAAUUAUGUGCCCUUUUUAUACUUAGAAAAUUGAAAAUUUUGGUUAAGUUUUGUGUUUAGGUCCAUUUUAUUCCGUAAGUAUCAAAGCUAUUGCUUUCAUACUUGCAACACUUACUAACUAUCAUAAGGGGACUGUGCAGGCAAAGUUAUGUAACUCUAACUGGCAUUUGGGCAGAAUUAUGGGCCCUUUAUACUUAGAAAAUUGAAAAUUUGGUUAAGUUUUGUGUUUUGGUCCACUUAACCCCUAAAGUAUCAUAGAUAUUGCUUUCAUACUUGGAACACUUGCAAACUAUCAUAAGGGUACAGUAAAAGGACAAGUUGCAUAACUCUGGUUGUCAUUUUUAUGGAAUUAUGGCCCUUUUUUGACUUAGUAACUUUGAAUAUAUGGUUAAAUUUUGUGUUUCGAUCCACUUUACUUCUUAACUAUCAAGGCUAUUGCUUUCAAACUUCAAAUACUUUCAUGCUAUCAUGAGGUGACUGUACCUGGCAAGUUGAAUUUUACCUUGAAUCCCCCCCCCCCCCUACCCGAAUU